AAACUCUAAUCAUACUUUCCAAA
rnacentral:snRNA from 1 species